rnacentral:rRNA from 1 species
AGUAACGCGUAGGAACCUGUCGUUGAGUGGGGGAUAACGCUGGGAAACCGGCGCUAAAACCGCAUGUGGUCACGCAAGUGAAGAAAGCAGCAAUGCGCUCGAUGAGGGGCCUGCGUCCGAUUAGCUAGUUGGUGUGGUAAGAGCGCACCAAGGCGACGAUCGGUAGCUGGUCUGAGAGGAUGGUCAGCCACACUGGGACUGAGACACGGCCCAG